AUUGAACGCUGGCGGCAUGCCUUACACAUGCAAGUCGAACGGCAGCAUGGGUGCUUGCACCUGAUGGCGAGUGGCGAACGGGUGAGUAAAGCAUCGGAACGUACCCGGAAGUGGGGGAUAACGUAGCGAAAGUUACGCUAAUACCGCAUAUUCUGUGAGCAGGAAAGCAGGGGCUCGUAAGACCUUGCGCUUUCGGAGCGGCCGAUGUCGGAUUAGCUAGUUGGUGAGGUAAAGGCUCACCAAGGCGACGAUCCGUAGCGGGUCUGAGAGGAUGAUCCGCCACACUGGGACUGAGACACGGCCCAGACUCCUACGGGAGGCAGCAGUGGGGAAUUUUGGACAAUGGGCGGAAGCCUGAUCCAGCCAUGCCGCGUGAGUGAAGAAGGCCUUCGGGUUGUAAAGCUCUUUUGUCAGGGAAGAAAUAGUCUGGGUUAAUACCCUGGGCGGAUGACGGUACCUGAAGAAUAAGCACCGGCUAACUACGUGCCAGCCGCCGCCGUAA
rnacentral:rRNA from 1 species